rfam:Asian citrus Psyllid, Diaphorina citri - Florida Strain, whole genome shotgun sequence.
GCCAGCGGUAAAAGCACGUUGAAUGCACCACUGCCCCAUGGAUCUAUGAAGUUAAGCAACGUUGUGCAUGGUUAGUAUCCGGAUGGGUGACCGUCUGGGCAAUCGCGAGCUGCUGGCU